rnacentral:rRNA from 1 species
CAGUCGCCACGGGAAUACGAAGGGUGCAAGCGUUAAUCGGAAUUACUGGGCGUAAAACGUCUGUAGGUGGAUUUUCAAGUCCACCAUCAAAUCCCAGGGCUCAGCCCUAGAUAGGCAGUGGAAACUACCAAGAUGGAGUACGGUAGGGGCAGAGGGAAUCUUCGUGGAGCGGUGAAAUGCAUUGAGAUUGGAAAGAACAACAACGGCUAAAGCACUCUGCUGGGCCGACACAGACACUGAGAGACAAAAGCUAGGGGAGAAAAUGGGAUUAGAUACCCGCGUAGUCCCUGUCUCUUAUACA